AUGUUCCCGAAAUCCUGGUGCAGAUUCGACGGCGGAACCACGAUCGAAUUGGUCUUGACGUCUUGGGUGCGGGACUCCUUGGUGACGGUGAGCAGGCACCUGAUGGUGAGGCAGUCGUUCUCGAGGAAGGGCGAGCCCUGGAUCUUGGACUUCUCGAUGAACUUGAUGAAGCCCCAAUUGUCGCUCGCCGGAGAGAAUGUGUGCUUCAUGUAG
rnacentral:rRNA from 1 species